AUUGAACGCUGGCGGAAUGCUUUACACAUGCAAGUCGAACGGCAGCACGGGGGCAACCCUGGUGGCGAGUGGCGAACGGGUGAGUAAUACAUCGGAACGUGCCCAGUCGUGGGGGAUAACGUAGCGAAAGUUACGCUAAUACCGCAUACGAUCUACGGAUGAAAGCGGGGGACCGUAAGGCCUCGCGCGAUUGGAGCGGCCGAUGUCAGAUUAGGUAGUUGGUGAGGUAAAGGCUCACCAAGCCGACGAUCUGUAGCUGGUCUGGGAGGACGAACAGACACGGUGGGACUGAGACACGGCCCAGACUCCUACGGGAGGCAGCAGUGGGGAAUUUUGGACAAUGGACGCAAGUCUGAUCCAGCCAUUCCGCGUGCAGGAUGAAGGCCCUCGGGUUGUAAACUGCUUUUGUACGGAACGAAAAGGUCUCUCUUAAUACGGGGGGCUCAUGACGGUACCGUAAGAAUAAGCACCGGCUAACUACGUGCCAGCAGCCGCCGUAA
rnacentral:rRNA from 1 species